CUGGAGGUUUCCUCAGGACAGGGAGAGGUUAACCUGGAGGUUUCCUCAGGACAGGGAGAGGUUAGCCUGGAGGUUUCCUCAGGACAGGGAGAGGUUAGCCUGGAGGUUUCCUGAGGACCGGGAGAGGUUAGCCUGGAGGAUUCCUCAGGACAGGGAGAGAGAAGGGAGAGGUUAACCUGGUGGUUUCCUCAGGACAGGGAGAGAGAAGGGAGAGGUUAACCUGGAGGUUUCCUCAGAGCAGGGAGAGAGAAGGGAGAGGUUAACCUGGUGGUUUCCUCAGGGCAGGGAGAGGUUAGCCUGGAGGUUUCCCCAGGACAGGGAGAGAGAAGGGAGAGGUUAGCCUGGAGGUUUCCUCAGGACAGGGAGAGGUUAGCCUGGAGGUUUCCUCAGGACAGGGAGAGGUUAG